rnacentral:rRNA from 1 species
GGCCCACACAAGCGGUGGAGUAUGUGGUUUAAUUAUACACAACGCGAAGAUCCUUACCAGGGCUUGACAUUGAGUGAAAGAGCUAGAGAUAGCUUAUUUCCUUCGGGAACACGAAAACAGGUGGUGCAUGGCUGUCGUCAGCUCGUGUCGUGAGAUGGGGGGUUAAGUCCCGCAACGAGCGCAACCCCUGUCCUUUGUUGCCAGCGCGUAAUGGCGGGAACUCAAAGGAGACUGCCGCGGAGAACGCGGAGGAAGGCGGGGAUGACGUCAAGUCAUCAUGCCCCUUAUGUCCUGGGCUACACACGUACUACAAUGGGAUGGACAGAGGGAAGCGAAGGCGCGAGCCGGAGCGGACCCCACAAACCAUCCCCCAGUUCGGAUUGCAGGCUGCAACCCGCCUGCAUGAAGUCGGAAUCGCUAGUAACCGCAGGUCAGCAUACUGCGGUGAAUACGUUCCCGGGCCUUGUACACACCGCCCGUCACACCACGGAAGUCAUUCACGCCCAAAGCCGGUGGGCCAACCGCAAGGAGGCAGCCGUCUAAGGCGGGGGCGAUGUUUUUGGAGAAGUCGUAACAAGGUAGCCG